UCCUUGGUGGUCCAGUGGUUAGGAUGCUGCACUUCCACUGCCAAGGACCUGGGUUUCAUCCCUGGUUGGGGAA
rfam:Ovis aries breed Texel chromosome 11, whole genome shotgun sequence.